rnacentral:misc_RNA from 1 species
ACUGAUGAUGGCGACUACAAUAUCAAGCUGCGUAACCUCAUCAAGUUCCUGGAAGACGGUGACAAGACCAAGAUCACCUUGCGCUUCCGUGGCCGCGAGAUGGCGCACCAGGAUAUUGGUUUCCGUAUGCUGGAACGCCUGAAAGCCGAUCUGGAGCCGCAUGGCCAGGUCGAGCAGUUCCCGAAAAUGGAAGGCCGCCAGAUGAUUAUGGUGCUGGCACCGAAGAAAAAGAAGUAAAUUGCUAUAGUGGCAAUCAAAAAAAGGGCGCAACAGUGCCCUUUUUUGUUUUUCUGGGCUAUAAUUGUCGGCUGUAGUAAAUGUA